UACAGAGGUGCCAAGCGUUAGGCGGAAUCACUGGGCUUAAAGCGCGCGUAGGCGGAUGUUUAAGUGUCUUGUGAAAUCCCACGGCUCAACCGUGGAACUGCUGGGCAUACUGGACAUCUUGAGGCACUCAGGGGCGAGCGGAACAAGUGGUGGAGCGGUGAAAUGCGUAGAUAUCAUUUGGAACGCCAACGGUGAAAACAGCUCGCUGGGGGUGUGCUGACGCUGAGACACGAAAGCCAGGGGAGCGAACGGG
rnacentral:rRNA from 1 species